AGAGUUUGAUCCUGGCUCAGGAUGAACGCUAGCGACAGGCUUAACACAUGCAAGUCGAGGGGCAGCGGGGUGUGGCAACACACUGCCGGCGACCGGCGCACGGGUGAGUAACGCGUAUGCAACUUGCCUAUCAGAGGGGGAUAACCCGGCGAAAGUCGGACUAAUACCGCAUAAAACAGGGGUCCCGCAUGGGGAUAUUUGUUAAAGAUUCAUCGCUGAUAGAUAGGCAUGCGUUCCAUUAGGCAGUUGGCGGGGUAACGGCCCACCAAACCGACGAUGGAUAGGGGUUCUGAGAGGAAGGUCCCCCACAUUGGUACUGAGACACGGACCAAACUCCUACGGGAGGCAGCAGUGAGGAAUAUUGGUCAAUGGCCGGGAGGCUGAACCAGCCAAGUCGCGUGGAGGACGAAGGUCCUAUGGAUUGUAAACUUCUUUUGUGCGGGAAUAAAGUCGGGGACGCGUCCCCGUUUGCAUGUACCGCACGAAUAAGCAUCGGCUAACUCCGUGCCAGCAGCCGCGGUAAUACGGAGGAUGCGAGCGUUAUCCGGAUUUAUUGGGUUUAAAGGGUGCGUAGGUCGCCGAUUAAGUCAGCGGUGAAAUCCAGUGGCUCAACCAUCGGACUGCCGUUGAAACUGGCCGGCUUGAGUAUGAUUGAGGCAGGCGGAAUGCGUGGUGUAGCGGUGAAAUGCAUAGAUAUCACGCAGAACCCCGAUUGCGAAGGCAGCUUGCCAAGCCAUGACUGACACUGAAGCACGAAAGCGUGGGUAUCAAACAGGAUUAGAUACCCUGGUAGUCCACGCAGUAAACGAUGAUUACUAGGAGUUUGCGAUACAGUGUAAGCUCCACAGCGAAAGCGUUAAGUAAUCCACCUGGGGAGUACGCCGGCAACGGUGAAACUCAAAGGAAUUGACGGGGGCCCGCACAAGCGGAGGAACAUGUGGUUUAAUUCGAUGAUACGCGAGGAACCUUACCCGGGCUUGAACUGCAGGCGAACGAUUCAGAGAUGAUGAGGCCCUUCGGGGCGCCUGUGGAGGUGCUGCAUGGUUGUCGUCAGCUCGUGCCGUGAGGUGUCGGCUUAAGUGCCAUAACGAGCGCAACCCCUGCCGCCAGUUACUAGCAGGUAAUGCUGAGGACUCUGGCGGGACUGCCAGCGUAAGCUGCGAGGAAGGCGGGGAUGACGUCAAAUCAGCACGGCCCUUACAUCCGGGGCGACACACGUGUUACAAUGGCGUGGACAAAGGGCGGCGACUUGGCGACAAGGAGCAAAUCCCCAAACCACGUCUCAGUUCGGAUCGGAGUCUGCAACCCGACUCCGUGAAGCUGGAUUCGCUAGUAAUCGCGCAUCAGCCAUGGCGCGGUGAAUACGUUCCCGGGCCUUGUACACACCGCCCGUCAAGCCAUGAAAGCCGGGGGCGCCUGAAGUCCGUGACCGCAAGGGUCGGCCUAGGGUGAAACCGGUGAUUGGGGCUAAGUCGUAACAAGGUAGCCGUACCGGAAGGUGCGGCUG
rnacentral:rRNA from 1 species